rnacentral:rRNA from 1 species
GUCUGCCUACGGGACGCAGCAGUAGGGAAUCUUCGGCAAUGGGGGCAACCCUGACCGAGCAACGCCGCGUGAGUGAAGAAGGUUUUCGGAUCGUAAAGCUCUGUUGUAAGUCAAGAACGGGUGUGAGAGUGGAAAGUUCACACUGUGACGGUAGCUUACCAGAAAGGGACGGCUAACUACGUGCCAGCAGCCGCGGUAAUACGUAGGUCCCGAGCGUUGUCUGGAUUUAUUGGGCGUAAAGCGAGCGCAGGCGGUUU